CUUUUACUUACACCCACAUCGCCAGGGAACUACGAGCAAAGCUUAAAACCCAAAGGACUUGACGGUACCCCACAUCCCCCUAGAGGAGCCUGUCCUAUAAUCGAUAACCCACGUUUAACCUCACCAUUUCUAGUUAAUCAGCCUGUAUACCUCCGUCGUCAGCUUACCACGUGAGCGCUAAUUAGUGAGCCCAAUGUCUCUUCACCCAUACGUCAGGUCAAGGUGCAGCAAAUGAAAUGGAAAGAGAUGGGCUACACUUUCUACAUUAGAAAAAACGAAAAACUACCCAUGAAACUUAGUUAGAAGGCGGAUUUAGCAGUAAAAAGGAAUCAACAUGUCUAUUUUAACCCGGCACUGGGGUGUGUACACACCGCCCGUCACCCUCUUCAAAACCAUAAGUAUAGUCUUUAACAACAAUUUUCUCCAU
rnacentral:rRNA from 1 species